AGCGAACGCUGGCGGCAGGCCUAACACAUGCAAGUCGAACGAACCCUUCGGAGUUAGUGGCGGACGGGUGAGUAACACGUGGGAACGUGCCUUUAGGUUCGGAAUAACUCAGGGAAACUUGUGCUAAUACCGAAUGUGCCCUUCGGGGGAAAGAUUUAUCGCCUUUAGAGCGGCCCGCGUCUGAUUAGCUAGUUGGUGAGGUAAAGGCUCACCAAGGCUACGAUCAGUAGCUGGUCUGAGAGGAUGACCAGCCACAUUGGGACUGAGACACGGCCCAAACUCCUACGGGAGGCAGCAGUGGGGAAUCUUGCGCAAUGGGCGAAAGCCUGACGCAGCCAUGCCGCGUGGAUGAUGAAGGUCUUAGGAUUGUAAAAUCCUUUCACCGGUGAAGAUAAUGGCUGUAGCCGGAGAAGAAGCCCCGGCUAACUUCGUGCCAGCCGCCGCAGAAGAC
rnacentral:rRNA from 1 species